AACGCACAUUGCGCCUAUUGGUAUUCCAAUAGGCAUGCCUGUUCGAGCGUCAUUUAAAUCUUCAAGCCUUGCUUGGUGUUGGGUGCUGUCUCGGCGAAUUCCCCUUUUUUUGGGGGGGUUUUCUGCAGACUCUCCUUAAAUAAAUUGGCAGCCGGCAAUUGGGUGUUGGAGCGCAGCACAAUUUGCGUUCCCAGCCAUAUUAGCUUUGGCGUCCACAAAGCUUAUUUUAACAUUUUGACCUCGGAUCAGGUAGGGAUACCCGCUGAACUUAA
rnacentral:misc_RNA from 1 species